ensembl:lincRNA
AUUACAUGUUAGGGAAAGGAGAAUAUACGACUUAGAGGAAAACACAAGACUGUUGUUAUAGUUUUACAAAGUGGAGCAACUUCACGGGUGAUAGUGCGGAGCUGUUGCUGAAUAUUAUGAAAAUGCUGCAGUUUGUCAUAUGCUGUGUAUUGCUGCCUCACAGAGAUUAUUAUAAGCAGAGGUCACUUUGUGUGUUGAUGAGGACUGUAUAUGGGUGAGAAGCCCCAGGUGAGGCUGGAUGAUUGGAGUACAAGCUGCAGUAACAAGACCCAUACUCUAUCAUCUGUAAAGGGAGUCCAUGAAGAACUAAGACACGGAAGCUGGAGGCACAGAACUGGUUGGGAAAAAGCGCAGAUUCAUGACCUGAUUUAAAAAAUAGGAAUCACGAGGGCAUAGAUAUGAGAAAGCAGUUCCAAGGCCAUCAAGCGUUCAAAAACUGAAUGACUGAGGAGGACAGAGAUAGGUGAGUGGUCAAA